GAUGAACGCUGGCGGCGUGCCUAAUACAUGCAAGUCUAGCGAACAGACGAGGAGCUUGCUCCUCUGACGUUAGCGGCGGACGGGUUAGUAACACGUGGAUAACCUACCUAUAAGACUGGGAUAACUUCGGGAAACCGGAGCUAAUACCGGAUAACAUGUUGAACCGCAUGGUUCAACAGUGAAAGACGGUCUUGCUGUCACUUAUAGAUGGAUCCGCGCCGCAUUAGCUAGUUGGUAAGGUAACGGCUUACCAAGGCAACGAUGCGUAGCCGACCUGAGAGGGUGAUCGGACAAACUGGAACUGAGACACGGAACAGAAUCCUAAGGGAGGCAGCAGUAGGGAAUCUUCCGAAAUGGGCGAAAGCCUGACGGAGCAACGACGCGUGAGUGAAGAAGGUCUUCGGAUCGUAAAACUCUGUUAUUAGGGAAGAACAAAUGUGUAAGUAACUAUGCACGUCUUGACGGUACCUAAUCAGAAAGCCACGGCUAACUACGUG
rnacentral:rRNA from 1 species